GUGUCAGCAGCCGCGGUAAGACGAAGGAUUCAAGCGUUGUCCGGAUUUACUGGGUUUAAAGGGUGCGUAGGCGGAAAUAUAAGUCAGUGGUGAAAUCCCGCAGCUCAACUGCGGAACUGCCAUUGAAACUGCAUUUCUUGAAUACGGUUGAGGUAGAUGGAAUGUAACAUGUAGCGGUGAAAUGCUUAGAUAUGUUACAGAACUCCGAUUGCGAAGGCAGUCUACUAAGCCGUUAUUGACGCUGAGGCACGAAAGCGUGGGGAGCAAACAGGAUUAGAAACCCCUGUAGUCC
rnacentral:rRNA from 1 species